rnacentral:snRNA from 1 species
AUCCCCUCUCAGCCCUUUGGCUAAGAUCAAGUGUAGUAUCUGUUCUUAGCGGUUUAAUCAUAAUCUGGGUAAGAAACAAGUCACACAAUGUAGAUUUCACAAAGGGAGGGACACAUU